GAUGAACGCUGGCGGCGUGCCUAAUACAUGCAAGUCGAGCGAACAGAUGAGGAGCUUGCUCCUCUGACGUUAGCGGCGGACGGGUGAGUAACACGUGGAUAACCUACCUAUAAGACUGGGAUAACUUCGGGAAACCGGAGCUAAUACCGGAUAAUAUAUUGAACCGCAUGGUUCAAUAGUGAAAGACGGUUUUGCUGUCACUUAUAGAUGGAUCCGCGCCGCAUUAGCUAGUUGGUAAGGUAACGGCUUACCAAGGCAACGAUGCGUAGCCGACCUGAGAGGGUGAUCUGCCACACUGGAACUGAAGCACGGUCCAGACUCCUACGGGAGGCAGCAGUAGGGAAUCUUCCGCAAUGGGCGAAAGCCUGACGGAGCAACGCCGCGUGAGGGAUGAAGGUCUUCGGAUCGUAAAACUCUUUUAUUAGGGAAGAACAAAUGCGUAAGUAACUAUGCACGUCUUGGCGGUACCUAAUCAGAAAGCCACGGCUAACUACGUG
rnacentral:rRNA from 1 species